CUUAGUUGUGCGUGUACAUAUGCAUGCGAGUGAUCGGCUUGCAGGACGAUGCGACGACAAGCUCGACUUUGUUUCAUCUAUUUCCAUGUUCUUUUUGCGUCUUGUAGAGAAGUCGGCCCGUGGGAGGAUGAGCUCGUGGCGAGGCGUCGUGAUAGCAACCCCCUUCCACGAGGAAGAGGAGGAGGAGGAGGAGGCUGAUCCCUUCUAGGUGAUCACUCCCCAUCUUAUUCUCCCGGUUUGAGUAGUCGAUUGAGUAGUCGAUGGAUCUGAGAUUCUUCCUAUCUUUCUCUGUUCUCUUUCGAUUGCUGCCUGAUAGGUUUAUCGUCUAAGGAUUUUGUCAGAUCCGAUGCGGUGCGGUUACUUCGGGGAUUCUCGGCUGACUGUCCCUUUUGAGUAUAUUCUAUAUCGGUAUCUACAGUAAAAGACUUGAACUCUUUCAGUGGCUUUUUCUGGUAGCAGUGACAGAGGCAUGCAAUGGAAGGUCUCCCUAACCCUAAGUUACUUAAAGGCAAGGAUUUGCCCUUUUGUUAAUGGCUAUUGUCUAGGGAGAUGUUUUGUACUCGCCCAUGGAUGGUCAUCAAGUUCAAAGCAAUGUUUCUGCAGAGGGUGACUCAGUUGUGCAAGUAGAACAUGAGGGACUGAGACAAAAUGUAAUUUUCACUACAAUUUCUCUCUCAUUCAUCAAUUGCCAAAUUACUAUGAGCUCAGAAGAUAAAAGGGAAGAGCUCAUGCCUUCACUGCCUCCGUAGCUACCAAAAGGCCUGUGUCAGCCUCAGAAGCCGCUGCACCCCUGAAGAGCAAGAUUGCUAGGCUUCCUAUGUUGAAGUAGAUGAAACAACCACAAUGGUGGGUGACAAAGGAACCAAAAUCUGUUCCCACAAUGCAUUGCCACCCUGGACCAUAUGACCUGUCAAACUCCUGCAGUUUUACAAAUUCCAUUGUAAGAGGAAGAGGAAACAAGACAAUGAAUGGAUGAGUCUUUGUUAGUUAGCCAAGAUACUCGAAAUUACCUUCUUGAUGAAACAGGCUAUCUCAGUGGAAUCUGUGACAUCAAAUUCAUCCAGUGCCUUCCCAGCCAAACGGAGAGCAUCCUGCUGCAUGGUUUGCAGCAUAUCGGUCUCUCCGAUGAUUGCCUGGCUUUCCAGCAUAGUUGGGUGUUUGCUCUGUAGGUUUGAGGAGAAUGGUCGAGCUGAGACCUCUAACGCCAAUGCUAGGUUUUUCAGGGAGAAGGAUUGUUAGUUGUGGGGGAAGGAGAAGCGGUGGUCUCAAUUAUAUCAUACUGGGAUAUGGAGGUAACAUUCGUGGGUGCUGGUGGACGGGCCACGUCUGUUGAAGAUGGAGCUUGUGGCCAGUAGUUGACAUUCCGGAAUAUACCAAUCAGCCCUUUGUAAAAAUGAGGAUAUAUGAGGCCUUGGCGGCAGGGAUCUAAAAUAUUCUUUAGACAAUGGCCAUUGGAUUUGUGCAGCCAGAUUAUUCAUGGAGGUCCCUGGCCGACUCUUCUUCUGAUGAUUUUGUCUCUUGUCCCUUCGUUCAUUCAGUAUUUCUAUGGUAUGAUAGAAGCAGUGGUGAUGUGUGGGUGAUGUCAGACAACGGAUUUUCCAAGGAAGGAUGCCAGUCUGAACAUAUGCUUCUAAGGUAUGGGGUCUAGAAAUUUAGUACAAGCUUCUGCUUCAUAGAUUUAACUUGUGGCUAGAACUGUCUUAAAGGGGGACCUCUGGAAUAGUAUCUAUAGAUUAAGAGUGGUGAUGCUGGAAAUCCGUGGAAGCAGGAAGCCCACUAUUUUUGCUCACUUUUCCAGUGGCUUGAAAUGACAUGCAACUGGUUUGAUUCUUCUGUUCCUUUGAUUCCUCUCUGUCUCUCUCUCUCUCUCUCAAGAAUGCUCAUGUUACUUUGUUGGUGUCCUGCAUCAUCUGAUAUUCGUGGUCAUACUUUAUAAUAUUCAUCAAUUUUGUCCCACAUAUUUCCUGCAAAAUGGCAACUGAUGAGCAGGUGGAGAAGACUGCAGCGCAUUCAGCGCUGAUCGACGAUAUAUUGCAGGCUACAAAAGUGACUGCAGCUGAGACAGGUGUUGGCCGACGAGCAUAGUAGCCACGAGUCCCUUCCUCAGUAGUGUGAUCUUGAUGUGAUCGUCUCCGAGUUCGGAAGCGAAUCAUGUGGUGGAUCCCGGUGAGAUGCUCGCCAACUAUUUGAUUCAAUGCUUCCAUGAGCCAGCGGUAGAAGCCAAAGAAACGACGCCCAUCCGAGCUCGACUGCAGGCCACAGCUGUGCUUUUCUAUCGCAUGGGGAGUCGACGCCGACUUGCGUGUUGCUCUCCCCUCAAUACAAGUCAAGCUGGAUCUUCGGUGGAUCAAUGUGAUCUCCCUCGGCUUGCUUGGAAUUUGUAGGCGACAGUGCAUCUGCUGCCGAUGUCCCAAAUUGACCGCAAUGUGGGUUGACUUCAUGCGGCCGGUCGUACUCGGCUGGCAAUCCAAUGGAUGGACUUGGCGCCUCCCCAUCAAGAACUAUCUAUCAUCUGAUAGCACCUAUCUUUACUGUCUUAAAUCCAGUGAAUAUUUAGUUUUGAUCGGAGAACUGAUGGCCCUCAUCUCUCAUGCAAUAUGCAGUUAAUAGAUUCAAAUACUCGGGUACUAAUCUUGGUGCGAUCAAUUGUCAACAGGCGUUCAUGGAUUCCCCAGAAUGUUUCAGUGCAUCCGAGAGAGAUUGCUUGUUACAAGACUAAGAUGGCACAAGUGUGGGAUGGAAGAAAGAAAAAUCCAACCAAACCACCCGGUUUCUCCGGGCAUGGGAACACAAAGAAUCCGCAGUCAAAAAAGAUAGAAGCCACAAGGGGGUUUCAUCCAUGAACAGAGUCCCCUGGUCUCGUAACAUGUCCAUGUUGGAAUAAUGCCAGAGCUUCCGCUGAUUGACUUCUUGACUUGUAUCGUAGUUAUUACGUGGAUUUUGGUAUGAAGAUGAUAUGUCUGCUGUUUCCCUGUUCUAUGGCGUCUCACCCGUCCAUAUAUGACAUGGUAGACUUUGGUGGCGAGCCUCCAAAGAGUCAAGCAUCUCAUUCCGAUCCGCUUUCUUUCAUAUAUAAUUGGUGUCUUGAAAGCUACGUGAUGAGUAGGAUACGUAUCCCUCUCAAGUUAGUAGUAAUAUAAAACGUUGGAUGGACAUCAUGUGCAGCUCUCUAGACCUACUUACUCGUUCACAUUACUUUGAUGACUCGCAUCGUCUCAAAAUUGUAGUCAACCCGUCGAUACUUGCAAUGUAACAAGUGGCGUUGUGUA